rnacentral:lncRNA from 1 species
AGCCCAUCUGCACCCAGGCGCUCACUGAAACAGUGUGUUGCUCCACACCGCCUUGUUUUGCUUGUUGGCGCGCUCUCAGGGUUCCGACCAAUCCAAGAGCCUUGCAGAAAGCAUUAACGUGCUUUUCUCUUUGGCAGAGUUUUUCUUUGCUCUGAUCUUGGAGACAUCCCUCUGCCUAGUGGAAACAUAAGGAAUACAGAAAGAAUGCAAGGAGAUAGACCAACGUGAGAUUCUCCUUCAUGCACUCAAGAGAAAGAUGUUGCAGGAAGAGCUAGUCUUUCAGGCUGGGCUGGUGACCUGAGAAAGAAUGUCCAGCUUUUCUUCUCCACUUGGCAUAUCAAGAGCCAGGCGUGGAAGACUAAAACAGGAAAUGUUUAUAAAAACUGUUCAGCGGUUCGCCAACAAGAAGUGGUAAAGUAGCAAAAAUGGGGAUGGAGAUGCCAGGAGGAAAGAUGCCAGGGGUAAAGUGGGAAAAUGGGAACCUGAAGCCAGGAGGUCAAGCCAAGCCAACAGGUGUUCUGUUUUUCAAUGAGGAGGUGGGGCACAGGAUGGAUGGAAACUUUCCACAGUCACAGAACUAAUAAGUGGUGCUGAGGACUCAAACCCGGGGAAGCCCACUCUAGAACCCAUGCUGGUCAUCCAUAUCCCCAAGGCCCUGGUCAGAACACAGCUAAGCAGAUGGCUUGGGUCAUCAGGACGUCCAUUACAUCCAAAGGAAGACAGCCUGUGACGUUUCAAAAGCAAAAGUCCCCUACCAGCCAGUGAAGCUACCUGAUUUCUCAGUAUCUUACGCCCAGUGACACGAUCUACC